rnacentral:lncRNA from 10 species
CAAGUUCUUCAGCUUUGGGACACAGACUGGCUUCCUUGCUCUUCAGCUUACAGAUGGCCUGUCAUGGGACCUCACCUUGUGAUCCCUGAACAUACCAGGGAAGCUGAGAGAAUCCACAAACCCUUUGAAGGAAGUGGCUUGCUGCUGCAGAGUGGGACAGCAGAGGAACUGUGAGUCGGCUUGCUUUCUCAGCUGGGAGGCUUGUAGCCUGAGGCAAGUUCUCAGCCCUGCUCACUGGCUGCCUGGAAAUAAACCAGGUGUUGAUCCCAAGAGUGCUUCCUAAGAAUCCUCCUCCAUGUUAACUUUCAUCCUAGAGUCUGCUUCACUGAUUGCCCAACUUGCAACAGAAAGUAGUAAUAUCUCUGCUUUUGUAUUGUUUCAUGCACUACUCAUCUAAGGUUCUAGGACAGUGUUCUCUCUCGUUUCCAAUAAUAAAAUUCUUCUGAUUGUCCUGGGGAGUAUUUUUGAUGUGCAUUUUAUAGUCUCUCAUGCAGCAAAAACCCAAGUGAAAUAGCUAUCUACACUUUGUAGAUUCAUUAAAUGCAUUGGAUACACAACGAAAUUGAGCUUCUUAUUUAUGGUUUCCUUCAAUAAAUGUGGUUUUAAAAAUUCCUUGUUUGUGAAUAAUUUAAGUUCACUGAAAGGAGUUUGACGGGUUAUUUAAAUUGAACGUUGUGGAGAAAUAGUAUUAUUUUAAUUGCUAGAUGUUUUAGCCAUUCUGUGAAAUCUCUUUAUUCAUGGAAAUAG